rnacentral:tRNA from 1 species
GCUCGCAUGGUCUAGUGGUAUAACGUCUCCUUCACACGGACAAGGUCCUCAGUUCGAUCCUGAGUGCGAGCA